ensembl:miRNA
GGGGACUGUGGGGUGACCCUGGAAAUCCAGAGUGGGUGGGGCCUGUCUGACCCUCUAGGCGACCCACUCUUGGUUUCCAGGGCUGCCCUGGAA